rnacentral:rRNA from 1 species
GAUGAACGCUAGCGACAGGCCUAACACAUGCAAGUCGAGGGGCAGCACAUGAGUAGCAAUACGAUGGUGGCGACCGGCGCACGGGUGAGUAACACGUAUGCAACCUACCGGUAAAAGGGGGAUAGCCUCUCGAAAGAGAGAUUAAUACCGCAUAAUAUCUCUGGAUGGCAUCAUUUAGAGAUUAAACAUUUAUGGUUUACCGAUGGGCAUGCGUAUGAUUAGCUAGUAGGUGAGGUAACGGCUCACCUAGGCAACGAUCAUUAGGGGUUCUGAGAGGAAGGUCCCCCACACUGGUACUGAGACACGGACCAGACUCCUACGGGAGGCAGCAGCGAGGAAUAUUGGUCAAUGGGCGAGAGCCUGAACCAGCCAAGUCGCGUGAAGGAUGAAGGUUCUAUGGAUUGUAAACUUCUUUUGUAAGGGAAUAAAAAGAGCUACGUGUAGUUUAUUGUAUGUACUUUACGAACAAGGAUCGGCUAACUCCGUGCCAGCAGCCGCCGUAA